rnacentral:rRNA from 1 species
UACGUAGGGUGCGAGCGUUGUCCGGAAUUAUUGGGCGUAAAGAGCUCGUAGGCGGUUUGUUGCGUCGGCUGUGAAAUCCCGAGGCUCAACCUCGGGUCUGCAGUCGAUACGAGCAAACUAGAGUGUUGCAGGGGAGACUGGAAUUCCUGGUGUAGCGGUGAAAUGCGCAGAUAUCAGGAGGAACACCGAUUGCGAAGGCAGCUCGCUGGAACGUUACUGACGCUGAGACGCGAAAGCGUGGGGAGCAAACAGG